UACGUAGGGGGCAAGCGUUAUCCGGAAUUAUUGGGCGUAAAGAGCUCGUAGGCGGCUCGUCGCGUCGACCGUGAAAACCCGCGGCUUAACUGCGGGCUUGCGGUUGAUACGGGCGGGCUAGAGUUCGGUAGGGGAGACUGGAAUUCCUGGUGUAGCGGUGAAAUGCGCAGAUAUCAGGAGGAACACCGGUGGCGAAGGCGGGUCUCUGGGCCGAUACUGACGCUGAGGAGCGAAAGCGUGGGGAGCGAACAGG
rnacentral:rRNA from 1 species